rnacentral:rRNA from 1 species
CCUCAGUAAUGGCGAAUGAACAGGGAUAAGCUCAGCAUGGAAAUCGGUGUCUCUGGCAUUGAAUUGUAGUCUCGAGUUGUACUGCCAACGGAGGCGCAGAUGUAAGCCUCUUGGAAAAGAGCAUCAACGAGGGUGAGAGUCCCGUUUGUCAUCUGCAGUCCCCCGUGCACGGUGUACUUCUAAAGAGUCACGUUCCUCGGAAAUGGAGCGCAAAGUGGGUGGUAAAUUUCAUCUAAAGCUAAAUAUAGGUUCGAGACCGAUAGCAAACAAGUACCAUGAGGGAAAGGUGAAAAGGACUUUGAAAAGAGAGUUAAAAGUGCCUGAAAUUGCUGAAAGGGAAGCGAAUGGAACCAGUGCUUCUUGGCAAGAUUGGUGCGUGCUAAUGUGAUUGCCUGCUGCUUCAGCGCAAGCGUGGUAGUGGGUUUUGAUCAGGACGUGCGUGUUGUUUCUUGCCUUGUGUGUCAACGUCAGUUCUCGAUCGAGGAAAACGCCAGGGACAUGGUAGCUCGUCUUCGGGUGAGUGAAUGUGCUUGGUUGAACUCAUUUGUGAACUGGUUCUUGCGUGUCUGGUUGCAGUGCAUUGUGUCUUCACACCCCUGGGGUGGGUUUCGAUCUUCCGCAGGUGGGGUGGGCGACCGGUGCAUCUCCCUGACACAUCGACGCUGACUAAAUGGUUCUAUUCGACCCGUCUUG